rnacentral:rRNA from 1 species
GGUUACUGCUAUCGGUGUUCGACUAAGCCAUGCGAGUCAUAUGUUCUUCGUGAACAUGGCGGACUGCUCAGUAACACGUGGAUAACCUGCCCUUAGGUUUGGCAUAACUCCGGGAAACUGGAGAUAAUUCCGAAUAGGUCAAAUAUGCUGGAAUGCUUUUUGGCCAAAAGACCUCGGUUGCCUAAGGAUGGAUCUGCGGUCUAUCAGGUAGUAGUGGGUGUAACGUACCUACUAGCCUACGACGGAUAUGGGUUGUGAGAGCAAGAGCCCAGAGAUGGAUUCUGAGACAUGAAUCCAGGCCCUACGGGGCGCAGCAGGCGCGAAAACUUUACAAUGCGGGAAACCGCGAUAAGGGGACACCGAGUGCCAGCAUUUAUGUUGGCUGUCCACAUGUGUAAACGGCAUGUGUUAGCAAGGGCCGGGCAAGACCGGUGCCAGCCGCCGCGGUAACACCGGCGGCCCGAGUGGUAAUCACUUUUAUUGGGUCUAAAGGGUCCGUAGCCGGUUUGAUCAGUUCUUCGGGAAAUCUGACAGCUCAACUGUUAGGCUUCCGGGGAAUACUGUCAGACUUGGGACCGGGAGAGGUAAGAGGUACUACAGGGGUAGGAGUGAAAUCUUGUAAUCCCUGUGGGACCACCAGUGGCGAAGGCGUCUUACCAGAACGGGUCCGACGGUGAGGGACGAAAGCUGGGGGCACGAACCGGAUUAGAUACCCGGGUAGUCCCAGCCGUAAACGAUGUUCGCUAGGUGUCAGGGGCGGUGCGACCGCUUCUGGUGCCGUAGGGAAGCCGUGAAGCGAACCACCUGGGAAGUACGGCCGCAAGGCUGAAAC